rnacentral:misc_RNA from 1 species
CAACCCUCAAGCUCUGCUUGGUAUUGGGCCCUGGGCGUCAGCCCAGGCCUUAAAAUCAGUGGCGGUGCCAUCUGGCUCUAAGCGUAGUAAAUACCUCGCUACAGAUGUCUGGUGGAUGCUUGCCAUAACACCUAAAUUUUUAAU